AGAACGAACGCUGGCGGCGCGCCUAAUACAUGCAAGUCGAGCGAGAAGACGUAGCAAUACGUUUGUAAAGCGGCGAACGGGUGAGGAAUACAUGGGUAACCUACCCUAGAGUGGGGAAUAACUAGCCGAAAGGUUAGCUAAUACCGCGUACGCUCCUUGGACUUCGGUACAGGGAGGAAAGCGAUACCGUGGGUAUCGCGCUCUUGGAUGGGCUCAUGUCCUAUCAGCUUGUUGGUGAGGUAACGGCUCACCAAGGCUUCGACGGGUAGCUGGUCUGAGAGGACGAUCAGCCACACUGGCACUGCGACACGGGCCAGACUCCUACGGGAGGCAGCAGUAAGGAAUAUUGCGCAAUGGGCGAAAGCCUGACGCAGCGACGCCGCGUGGGGGAUGAAGGUCUUCGGAUUGUAAACCCCUUUCGGAGGAAGAUGGAACGAGCAAUCGUUCGGACGGUACCUCCAGAAGCAGCCACGGCUAACUUCGUGCCAGCAGCCG
rnacentral:rRNA from 1 species